rnacentral:rRNA from 1 species
ACGGAUACAAUUCCCGGACCACGCGUGGCUGAGGGUUG